rnacentral:rRNA from 1 species
UCGGUGCCGCAGCUAACGCAUUAAGUACUCCGCCUGGGAAGUACGCUCGCAAGAGUGAAACUCAAAGGAAUUGACGGGGACCCGAACAAGUAGCGGAGCAUGUGGUUUAAUUCGAAGCAACGCGAAGAACCUUACCUAAGCUUGACAUCCCAAUGACAUCUCCUUAAUCGGGGAGUUCCCUUCGGGGACAUUGGUGACAGGUGGUGCAUGGUUGUCGUCAGCUCGUGUCGUGAGAUGUUGGGUUAAGUCCCGCAACGAGCGCAACCCUUGUCUUUAGUUGCCAUCAUUAAGUUGGGCACUCUAGAGA